rnacentral:rRNA from 1 species
UUAGCAGUAGGGGAUCUUCCACAAUGGACGAAAGUCUGACGGAGCAACGCCGCGUGAGUGAUGAAGGCUUUCGGGUCGUAAAACUCUGUUGUUAGGGAAGAACAAGUACAAGAGUAACUGCUUGUACCUUGACGGUACCUAACCAGAAAGCCACGGCUAACUACGUGCCAGCAGCCGCGGUAAUACGUAGGUGGCAAGCGUUAUCCGGAAUUAUUGGGCGUAAAGCGCGCGCAGGCGGUUUCUUAAGUCUGAUGUGAAAGCCCACGGCUCAACCGUGGAGGGUCAU